CCUGUUAAAAAAUAGCAAAGCAAUUUAUUACAAUUCUUUUCCAAGCCCUAACAUAAAAUUUUCUUUAAGAUGCAUUUGAUAAACCUGUUUAAUGCAAAUGUCCUAUUUAAAUAGGUGUGGAAGACUGCUAGAGAUGUUUUGCCCCUUUACACUCAUACGCAACAGAACUCCUCACAGACAUAAUCAACAGGACCAACAUUAGAAGUUGACCGAUAAAUGAUUUAAUUCAUUUUAUAAACAGAUAUACUGAAAUGAAGAACUCAGAAUUUCAUGUGUAAGGACUGCAUUACUAACACAACGACAUGAAGUGGAAGUGCCUGGCACAUUUGUAUCUUUCUCUUCUUCCUUUGAGCAAGAUAAUGAGUUGCGCAAAAAGGUUAAAAAAUAUAUAUGAGUAGGACAGAGACAACGGUCCCAUUUCUCCAGUGUAUCGAUGCCAAUGUCUACGACACAACCACUUACCUCAUCAGAGUCAGACAACACUUUCUUCUUCAUUGCAUUGUAUAAUGGAAUUAUGUCAUAGCAACUCUGGUCUCUGUGUAGAAAGAAAUACAAGUGAUAUUUAUCUUCCAUCUUCACCUAAGGAAUCAACUGUAAUUUGCCUAGGAUAUGGAAAAUACAUAUGCAGCCAUUCCCAAAUAAGAAUGUGUUUACUGCUAUAUGAAUACUAAGAUGCCUGCAGUAAUAAGUCAAGCUAAUUAUCUGCUCAAAAGCUGUAAAAUAUUAUCUGCACUCUGUCAAAUAUAGACCACUUAACAGUGUCAAUGUUUUAAGAUUAAAAAUCAUAACCCUUUAGCAUAAAUUUAUCAGCAUUAGAAAAAUCUAAUAUUAUGCCACAUAAAGGGCUUUGGGGACCAUCUAGUUUUUUAAGAAGCAUUACAGUGAAUUUAUUGUACAAAAGUGCAAUUUAAUACAUUAGCACCCACAACAUAAGACACUUGAAAUGCAAUGUUCAUUUGACUAGGACAUUGAUAAGGACUAACACUGUUAUUGCAUAAACCUGCAUAAUUAAUUCAG